rnacentral:rRNA from 1 species
GACGGCCAGUGAAUUCGAGCUCGGUACCCGGGGAUCCGAUUAUGCUUGUCUCAAAGAUUAAGCCAUGCAAGUGUAAGUUCAGGCCGAUUGAAUGGGCGAAACCGCGAACGGCUCAGGAACCGGACGUAAUCCAUUAGAUCGUACCGACCCUACUUGGAUAACUGUGGCAAUUCUAGAGCUAAUACAUGCAACGAUGCUCCGACUUCUUUCGUGGAAGGAAGAGCGCUUUUAUUAGACCAAGACCGAACGAUCGGCAUCGCGGCGAGCGUCGUCGAGAUCGAGGUGCCUCAGCGAUUUAGUCUUCGUUUAUAACAAAGGCGGUCGCUGUGAUCCUAUCUCGUUCGUUUGUUCGUUAGUUCGCAAGCGUUCCGUUCGAAAUCGCAAAUAUUGGUGACUCUGGAUAACUUUUGUCAGAUCGCAGGGCGUUCGCGCCGGCGACGGGUCUUUCGAACGUCCGCCCCAUCAACUUUCGACGGUCGGUUAGGCGCCGACCGUGGUGAUAACGGGUAACGGGGAAUCGGGGUUCGAUUCCGGAGAGGGAGCAUGCGAAACGGCUACCACAUCCAAGGACGGCAGCAGGCGCGCAAAUUACCCAAUCCCGGCACGGGGAGGUAGUGACGAAAAAUAUCGGUGCGGGUCUCGGAAUGAGAAUUCGCAAUCGGAAUGAGAACAAUCGAAAUCCUUUAUCGAGGAUCCAUUGGAGGGCAAGUCUGGUGCCAGCAGCCGCGGUAAUUCCAGCUCCAAUAGCGUAUGCUAAAGUUGUUGCGUUUAAAAAGCUCGUAGUCGGAUGUCGGAGUUUAGGGUGACGAGCGGAACGUCGUUCGGUGUAUUAGCGAUGCUUUUUGCGAAGAAAGGGAAUCGCAUAGGCUGUUUUGCUACCACUCGGGUGCAAAAGCUCCUAGUGCAGGUGCCUCGUAGUCGAUCGUUACGUGGUUGCUUCUUCGCCGGAUGCGAAGGCAAAAGCGUCGGUCGCGUCGUGCGUGCCUCGAGUGACGCGCGCUCGGGUAAGAAAACUCCCAUCGAUUCCUUCGCACUUUUUCGCUUUUCCCGUUCGUUCGAUCGUCGUUCUCGUGUAACCCGGCUCUCGGGCGGUAUGGAGAUCCGCACAAAUGGUCGGACUUCUCGCGAUGCUUUUGACCGAGUGUCGCGAGCGGCUGACACGUUUACUUUGAAAAAAUUAGAGUGCUCAAAGCGAGCGGGCAUCGAACGAAGGCCGGAAUAACGAUGCAUGGAAUAAUGGAAAAGGACCUCGGUUCUGUUCUGUUGGUCUUCGGAAGCGGAGGUAAUGAUCGAGAGGGACGGCCGCGGGCAUUGGUAUUGCGACGUUAGAGGUGAAAUUCUUAGAUCGCCGCAAGACCGACUACAGCGAAAGCGUUUGCCAAGAACGUUUUCUUUGAUCAAGAGCGAAAGUCAGAGGAUCGAAGACGAUCAGAUACCGUCGUAGUUCUGACCGUAAACGAUGCCGACCGGCCGUGCGUCGGAGUUAACGACCCGAUACGCAGCCACUCGGGAAACCUGAGUCUUCAGGUUACGGGGGGAGUAUGGUUGCAAAGCUGAAACUUAAAGGAAUUGACGGAAGGGCACCACCAGGAGUGGAACCUGCGGCUUAAUUUGACUCAACGCCCCCAAACUCACCCGGGCGGACACCGGUAGGAUUGACAGAUCGAAAGUUCUUUCUCGAUUCGGUGGUUGGUGGUGCAUGGCCGUUCUUAGUUCGUGGAGUGAUCUGUCUGGUUAAUUCCGUUAACGAACGAGACUCUAACCUGCUAAUUAGAUGGAAGGUUUUAAUCGUUUUUAUACGAUUUUAACCGGUUCGAAUUCAAUUAUCGCUUCUUAGAGGGACAGGCGGUGAUAAAAGCCGUACGAGAUUGAGCAAUAACAGGUCUGUGAUGCCCUUAGAUGUUCGGGGCCGCACGCGUGCUACAAUGAAGGAUUAAAAACGUCCUUGCGCGAAAGCGUUAUGGGAAAUCGUAUAAAUUCCUUCGUAAUUGGGAUCGUACUUUGAAACGUAGUACGUGAACGAGGAAUUCCUCGUAGUCGCGUGUCACCAUACACGCGUCGAUCAAGUCCCUGCCCUUUGUACACACCGCCCGUCGCUACUACCGAUCGAGCGUUUUGGUGAGAUCGUCAGAAUAGAUUAAUUAUUACAUUAAUAAUUGCUUCUGUGAAGACGAUCGAACUUGAUCGUUUAGAGGAAGUAAAAGUCGUAACAAGGUUUCCGUAGGUGAACCUGCGGAAGGAUCAUU